GCAAGUUAAAACCGACUUAAUUUUCCCUUUCCCUUAAGCCUCUAAAAAUAUAUAUUCGUAUCAAUUAAUCUCCAGACUUUCAAUCAUCAUGGCAUACAGAAGUUCAGAAAAAUUUGUGGAGAUCUAUGGCCACUCACCUAAGAGGAAAGGCUACUUUUGCAACAUCUACUGCUCCUAAAAUGAAGUCCUAUGCCCAUACUGCUAAUGUUCCCAACCAUCCAGAUGCUAGGCCAAAAUGAACUUUUAGAAACUAUCACUUUGUAAAGAAUCUUUAAGAACUUUAUUAAGAAGUAAUAAAGAUAUAAUUAGAUGUUUUAACUUGUGAUUUAAGUUAUAUACGCUAACUUGAUGCAUGGAGGUUCUUUUUACACCAUUUGUGUAGCGUAAUUUGUAAUAGCAGGGCAGUAAAGUUAGAGUAUUUUCUAGUGACGUGGGACUAGGGUUGAUAAUGCUACAAAGUAUGUUUUGGGGUACACACAAUAAUGCAGCAGCUGGGACGGUCGCCUAAUGUUCGAGUGAAGAAAUCAAGGAGAGAAGCUGUAUCAGAGGUGGAGGAACCUGAGCUUGUGUUGGAGGAAGCGGACAAGUUCCUCAAAAAUUCAUUCUUCCAUGAUCAUUCUGUCAUGGAUGAUCCUAUGCGUGGGAUGUUCUGGCCAGAUAUCAUACAAUAUGUUAUAGUUAAAAAGAAAUAGCAAUAGCAUUUGAAAUACUCAGUAAUUAAUUAGAUUGUUACCGUGUAGUUAAUUAAUUUGAUCUUCGUACUCCAAAAAGGUUUAUGUUGGCCGGAUUUUUUCACAUAAAUUGCAAGGAGAGUACAUAAUAGUGAUAGGAACGAAGAUAGUACUCCCCUUGUUUUA